UAAAGGGGGAGGACCCCUAGGUUCCCUGGUUAGUCUGACGGAUGCGGCAUUCUGUUACGAUCCGAAAGCGGAUGUGUGGGCCAAGAUGCCGACUGGAAGGUACAGCGCAGCAGCCUGCGUGGGAUCAGAUGAAUGCAUCUACGUUAUCGGUGGAGGCAGCAGCGCUUGUAAUUUAACCUGCGUUGAGGCUUUUAAUCCGGCGAGCAAGCGGUGGACAAAACAAAUGUAGCCUGCGCCGUCCGCUGAAUGCCGCUGGAGCCUGUUGCAUCGGCGACAAAAUCUAUAUUCUGGGAGGCGCUGACGCAACUGUGGAGAAAUCGAUCAACGUGUACGACGUGUCUUCGGACACAUGGACGCGCCGUGAAAAUCAGUUGCCCGUUGAAAGAUGGGGCUUUGGCUGCAGCGUGGCCAAAAUCCCAAGGGAGCAUAACGAACAACCUCAAAUUGCAGUUCAGUUGUUCAGUUCAUGAGA